rnacentral:rRNA from 1 species
UACAGAGGUCCCAAGCGUUGUUCGGAUUCAUUGGGCGUAAAGGGUGCGUAGGCGGCGCGGUAAGUCGGGUGUGAAAUCUCGGAGCUUAACUCCGAAACUGCAUUCGAUACUGCCGUGCUUGAGGACUGGAGAGGAGACUGGAAUUUACGGUGUAGCGGUGAAAUGCGUAGAUAUCGUAAGGAAGACCAGUGGCGAAGGCGGGUCGUCUGGGCAGUAACUGACGCUGAGGAGACGAAAGCGUGGGGAGCGAACAGG